rnacentral:rRNA from 1 species
CCCUUAGAUGUUCUGGGCCGCACGCGCGCUACACUGUUCGACGCAGCGAGCCUUAACCUUGACCGAAAGGUUUGGGUAAUCUUCAGCAAAGUCGAACGUGAUGGGGAUCGAUCAUUGCAAUUAUUGAUCGUGAACGAGGAAUACCUAGUAAGUGCGAGUCAUCAGCUUGCGCUGACUACGUCCCUGCCCCUUGUACACACCGCCCGUCGCUGCCCGGAACUGAGCCGUUUCGAGAAAGCUGGGGACUGACGGCUUGUGGGUGCGCAAGCACUUCUUGCCGAUGGAAACCAGUUUAAUCGGUAUGGCUUGAACCGGGCAAAAGUCGUAACA